UGGACGAAAGUCUGACCGAGCAACGCCGCGUGAGUGAAGAAGGUUUUCGGAUCGUAAAGCUCUGUUGUAAGUCAAGAACGUGUGUGAGAGUGGAAAGUUCACACAGUGACGGUAGCUUACCAGAAAGGGACGGCUAACUACGUGCCAGCAGCCGCGGUAAUACGUAGGUCCCGAGCGUUGUCCGGAUUUAUUGGGCGUAAAGGGAGCGCAGGCGGUCAGGAAAGUCUGGAGUAAAAGGCUAUGGCUCAACCAUAGUGUGCUCUGGAAACUGUCUGACUUGAGUGCAGAAGGGGAGAGUGGAAUUCCAUGUGUAGCGGUGAAAUGCGUAGAUAUAUGGAGGAACACCAGUGGCGAAAGCGGCUCUCUGGUCUGUCACUGACGCUGAGGCUCGAAAGCGUGGGUAGCGAACAGGAUUAGAUACCCUGGUAGUCCACGCCGUAAACGAUGAGUGCUAGGUGUAGGCCCUUUCCGGGGCUUAGUGCCGGAGCUAACGCAAUAAGCACUCCGCCUGGGGAGUACGACCGCAAGGUUGAAACUCAAAGGAAUUGACGGGGGCCCGCACAAGCGGUGGAGCAUGUGGUUUAAUUCGAAGCAACGCGAAGAACC
rnacentral:rRNA from 1 species